GUGGUUGUGGCUCAGUGGUAGAGCGCUCAUCUAGCACAUGUGUGGCCUUGAGUUUGAUCCUCAGUAUCACA
rfam:Ictidomys tridecemlineatus contig067741, whole genome shotgun sequence.